CUUUUUUGUUGCAAAUAAUUCGUUUCAUUUUAUUAUGGAAAUUUAUCCGUCCCAACACUGGCAAAAAUAUAAUCAAUCUGACUUCAAAAUUCCUUCCUCUGUUCCCCCAAGUACAUGUAACACUCUUCUCUCUCAUUUUUAAAAUUUUCAUUGUAUAUUUUUGUAGAAGCAAGGAAUGUGGAGCUAAUGCAUGCUGCUAAGGAUGGAAAGGUGUUGUGUUUAUUGGUCAUGCCUGAUACACCAGUCACAGUUGUACCUCAUUCCAUUUUAGAUGUUGUGAUGAAAAUUGUUGAAAGAGAUUAUCAACAUAGAACUAAUCAAUAUGAAUGUGCAAGUCAGACUUGUACAACACCUGAGUACCCAGAUGACUGUUGAACUAAUUGGUGAACACGAAAAGAUGUCAGAGAGGGGAAUUCAAUACAGUUGUCAAGAAUAUAUACUGUUAUCAAUGAUCAAGAAUUUGUAAACUUGUAGCGAUUUAGAAUAUCUUAUCUGUAAUAUAACUCUUCAUUACUUAAUUGUUAACACAUUAUAAUCUUAUUUGUAUAUAAAUUGCCCCUUCUUUAUAUAUAACUCCCUGCUGAUCCUAAUGACCUGUGUAUUGACUCUUGAUCUUAAGGAUCUUAUAAUGUUCUCCUGAUCAUCAGGAACAGAUCUUGAGUAUAUCUAUAGUGCGACAGAAUUUUAAAAUAAGAUAGGAAGAUUGAAAUAUAGAAGACUUAGUAGAUAGAAAUGUUAGAGAUAGAUAAAGCUAAAUACUUACUUGGAAUAUUACCUUAUAUUUCUCGGAUUUAUAUGUACAUGUGAAUAUUUUACUUGGAUUUUAUUUUUUGUGAUUCAUUUUUCCUGAAUGUUUCUAUUUGUGAUGUGCUGUGUAAAUAAACUGUAGACUAGAAUUUCAGCAUCUAUUUUUCAAGACAUGAGGAACAAGGAUAAAUUGAUUUAUAAAUGCAAACUGAGAUUAUGAAAUGUGUUGUAAGACUGUCCGAUGGGGCGCUACAGGCUAACUAGGAAAUAUCUUGGAGAUUUAUAGAUGAACAUGCAAGCAGCCAGAGAGUUUUUGCACAAAUUCAAUUUUCAGUACAGUAAUUUAAACUGGAUGUGUAAUUUUCAGUACCGUUAUGUAAAAUGAAUAUGUUACUUAUUAUGAUUGUCAGUUUCUCAACAGGACAUAAUUUUAGUUUAUUUAUAUGUAGAUUUGCAAAACAAAAAACACAGAACUUUUUUUUCUCUUUGUGCAUCAUGAUCAUACACUUGUAAACCUUUUACACCACCAUGAUUACAUAUUUAACAUUUAUUAUGUUGACGUGUAAAUCGAGCACACACAUGAAAAAGUGUACGCGUAUAGCUGGAUACAUUACAUAUGCAAACAUACAUCUGCCACAACCUAUUACAUAUUUUCCAAGGUGUGUGAAGUCGAGCACAUACAUGAAAAUGUGUGAAGCUGGACACAUACACAAAUACACAUGCAUCUGCCACAACCUAUUACAUAUUUUCCAAGGUGUGUGAAGUCGAGCACAUACAUGAAAAUGUGUGAAUCUGGACACAUACACAAAUACACAUGCAUCUGCCACAACCUAUUACAUAUUUUCCAAGGUGUGUGAAGUCGAGCACAAACAUGAAAGUGUGUGAAGCUGGACACAUACGCAAAUACACAUGCAUCUGCCACAACCUAUUACAUAUUUUCCAAAGCGUGUGAAGCCGAGCACAUACAUGAAAAUAUGUGAAGCUGGACAUAUAUGCAAACACACUAACAUUUACCACAGACAUAAAAACAUAAUUUAAACUUAAUCAAGCACAGACAGGCUCACGGGGUGAAGCUGGACUCGUACAUGAUCUCAUGCAUUUUUCAAACUGCAUCCUUGCAUAUAUUCUAUUAGAUUUUUCACCAUUUUUUGAGUUUGUGAAUAUGUAAAAUGCAUCAUUUUGCAUUACAAGUUGAAGAUGUUAUUAACCUGUAUAAAAGUGCAAAUCAAAUAGCCUUUCAUGUAAUUUUUUUCCACAUUCUAUUUAAACUGCAAAGUUUAUUUUAAAAAUGUACAUGCACCAUUAAGAUUAAAUAAUGUACCGGUAUUAUAUUUUAAGUGAAAUGAGACCUCCAUUUCAAAAGCAGAA